UUUAUUGGAGAGUUUGAUCCUGGCUCAGGACGAACGCUGGCGGCGUGCCUAAUACAUGCAAGUCGAGCGAGGGUCUUUAAGACCCUAGCGG
rnacentral:rRNA from 1 species